AGGUAAUAUAAAAUUUUAAUAAAAACCUAUAUAGUUUGGCGGCAUUUCUCCACAUUGAGGAACCUGUCCCUUAAUUGAUAAUCCACAAUAAUUCUUACUUAUUUUAAUAAUUUAUAUACCGCCAUUUUUUAAGAAUUAAAUUAAAUUUUCCUAUUCUAAAUACAAUUCUAAAAGAUUAGGUCAAGGUGUAAUCUAUAAAUAAGAGAGGAUGUGUUACUUUAAAAUUUAUUUAAGAAAAAACUUUAGAAAAUAAAAUUUUGAAAAAGAAUUAAUUAGUAAUAAUACAUUAAUAAUACAUUUUGAAUAAGAUAGUAAAUGUGC
rnacentral:rRNA from 1 species